UUUGGUGGUGGAUUGUUGCUGGCCUUUGGGUAUGUGCACAUCCUCCUCCGAUUUCUAUUCAUCCACCUGUGCACUUUUUGUAGGAGUUCUUUCAUCGGGUUUUUGAAGGUGCUCAUUAUGAGUUACUUGAAAAAAACAAUUUAACAAGGCUCCAAGUUUCUUAAAACCCUUUGAAUUAGUUUAAAAAAGGACCUGGUUUUGGGAAUUUUUUUGACCCUUUAACCUAAUAACACUUUUCACCACCGAACCCCUGGCCCCCCCCUCCAAGAAAAAACCCACCAAAUGGCAAAAAUUAAGGGAAUUUGCAAAAUUCAUGGAACCACCAAUCCUUUAACCCCCCCUUGCCCCCUCGGUUAUUCCGAAGGGAAGGCCGGUUGAAUGGCCAUAAAUUUCCCACUUUAAAAAUUUUUAACUUACCAAACCUGGAAGGUGGAAGGCUGGCAGGCUUUGGCCACCCCCCCUUAAUUUAAUAAUGGGGAACCCUGUUUUGUUAGUUCUAACCUUGGUGUGAUAAUUAUCUACAUUUUGGUGGAACCUUACAAUAAUAAAGCUCUAUUGGUUGGUUGUUGCAUUUAGUUGCUCAUCUGUUCUAUUC
rnacentral:rRNA from 1 species